rnacentral:tRNA from 1 species
GCUUUCAUAGCUCAGUUGGUUAGAGCACCCGUUUAGUAAGCGGGAGGUCUUGAGUUCAAAUCCCAAUGAAAGCA